CCUUUACUUGUAUGUUGUAGAUGUGAUGUGACUGUUUGGAAUAGGACCAAGAGCAAGUGUGAUCCUCUCAUCAGCUUGGGAGCAAAAUAUAAAUCAUCUCCAGAGGAAGUCACUGCAUCUUGUGAUGUCACAUUUGCGAUGCUUGCUGAUCCUAAAAGUGUAGUGGAUGUUUCUUAUGGCAAGUAU